AUGCUUUGGGGACUUAUUGACAAGAAGGAGAACAUGGCGUGCGAAGGAGGGAGGAAAAUAAAGACACAAAACUCAACAUUCACACGGUACUGUACACCAUUAACAGGCUUCAACCUCAGCCAAAUACUUCGAAAAGUUGGUCACAGAUUCAUCUCUACUAGGGAGACUAGCUGGAGUUAACGAUAGAUAUUUAGUAAAAUUAUGCAGAAUAUUUAUCUGGCUGCCAUGUUCCUGGCUUCUGUCCCUCCACACGGUAAGUCAAGUGCAUGAUUUACCAGCAUUCAGUUUUGUUGUUUUCUGCUAACAUCCUCUUACACUGCUCAACCAUAUUAUUUGCUUAAUAACAAACCAUUUUAUUUGCAUAAUAUUGGUAUAAAUAUUGAUAUUUUUCUAGUCGUAUACAUACAGUAUACACUGUAUACACCUUAUUGCCAGUUCCAAUUCUUAUAUUAAAAUUUAUAUUUAAAUUUGAUUAUAUUUAAAUUUCAUAGAGGAUAUUGGUUGAAACAUGCAAUUUCAAAAUUAUUUCUGUUAAUUAAGUUAAGGUUGCUAUAACCUUUGAAACAAUUUCAUUUAUUCUUAAAGUGGUGAAACUUUAACUUAAUGACUGCAAGUGAGCACACCAAAGGUCAGAUAGAUGCACUGUGUACGAAAUUGAACUGGAAUAUUUAAUAGACUGAUUUUGUUUCCUAUUUCAAAUGACAUCUUUGAAGUAGGGAAACGUUAUGCCUAAACUAAACUUGUCUAUUUUGUUGACAGCUUUGCCAUAUCAAACCUACUAAUAUUAUAAAACCUUUUGUGUUUUGACAAUCAACUCAAAUUGAGGAACAAAUCAUUUUUUUUCAUUCAGCUUAGCCUUAUUGAAAGUAUUUUGAGAUUUACUAAGAUCAAACUGUUAUGGUGACUCCACAAUAUGUUUUGCUUAUCAUUUAAGUACUUUUGGCUGUUGUUGAUAUAAGAUUUCAUUAAACUUUGUCAUCUAUCUGAUAUUCUCUUUAAAAAUCAUAUUGCAAUUGGUACUUAAAUACACAGAAAAUAACGGGGGAAAAAAGGAAAAGCAAAUUCUAUACUAUUCAGUGACUUGCUGAUUAUCCCAUAGGGCUUGGUGUGCUCAUAACGUAGUCUGAGAUAGGUGUUGCUUGAGUAAAAGUUACACAAGAUAUGGCAAAUGGUCGUAAAAUAUGAUUGCAAUUCUUUUGAAUACUGGCUUAUAUCAACUUACUUUUCAUAUCCUGGUUCCAAAUUAAUACUGAAGUUCCUUCUAAUUUUUUUAUAUUGCCUUUCAACUGGUAAUCAAUGAAGAUGUAUUAAUUCGUGUAGUGCUCUAGAUAACAAAAUUCCAAUUUUAACUAUCAUUUACAUUUAUCUGAUAUUUUCACUUAAGAUGAUUGGAUUCAAUUUGUGUAGUGCCUGUAACCAAAUCCUAAUUUUAAUUUUGAUUUUUUUGAUUUUUUCGCUUGAGUUGAUUGGAUUCAAAAGACCAUUUGUCACUCUUGAUGUAAAUGCCUGUAUGGUUGGUGGUUAAAACAUGGCAUGGACAGUUCACAGGCCCAAUCGGUUAAAUUCAUAACAUCAAUCCUUAUUGUGAAAAACUCAGUGGCGGAUCCAGGAUUUUUCAAAGGGGGGUUCCGUUUCUUAAAGUGCACAUGAACCCUUCGACAAUACUUUCA